rnacentral:rRNA from 1 species
GACGAACGCUGGCGGCGUGCUUAACACAUGCAAGUCGAACGGAAAGGCCCAGCUUGCUGGGUACUCGAGUGGCGAACGGGUGAGUAACACGUGGGUUAUCUGCCCUCAACUUUGGGAUAAGCCUAGGAAACUGGGUCUAAUACCCGAUAUGAUCAACUGUCGCAUGUGGGUUGGUGGAAAGCUUUUGCGGUUGGGGAUGGGCCCGCGGCCUAUCAGCUUGUUGGUGGGGUAAUGGCCUACCAAGGCGACGACGGGUAGCCGACCUGAGAGGGUGACCGGCCACACUGGGACUGAGACACGGCCCAGACUCCUACGGGAGGCAGCAGUGGGGAAUAUUGCACAAUGGGCGCAAGCCUGAUGCAGCGACGCCGCGUGAGGGAUGACGGCCUUCGGGUUGUAAACCUCUUUCGCCAGGGACGAAGCGUGAGUGACGGUACCUGGAGAAGAAGCACCGGCCAACUACGUG